rnacentral:rRNA from 1 species
GACGAACGCUGGCGGCGUGCCUAAUACAUGCAAGUAGAACGCUGAAGGAGGAGCUUGCUUCUCUGGAUGAGUUGCGAACGGGUGAGUAACGCGUAGGUAACCUGCCUGGUAGCGGGGGAUAACUAUUGGAAACGAUAGCUAAUACCGCAUAAUAGUAGAUGUUGCAUGUCAUUUGCUUAAAAGGUGCAAUUGCAUCACUACCAGAUGGACCUGCGUUGUAUUAGCUAGUUGGUGGGGUAACGGCUCACCAAGGCGACGAUACAUAGCCGACCUGAGAGGGUGAUCGGCCACACUGGGACUGAGACACGGCCCAGACUCCUACGGGAGGCAGCAGUAGGGAAUCUUCGGCAAUGGACGGAAGUCUGACCGAGCAACGCCGCGUGAGUGAAGAAGGUUUUCGGAUCGUAAAGCUCUGUUGUAAGAGAAGAACGAGUGUGAGAGUGGAAAGUUCACACUGUGACGGUAUCUUACCAGAAAGGGACGGCUAACUACGUG